rnacentral:rRNA from 1 species
AUUGAACGCUGGCGGCAUGCCUUACACAUGCAAGUCGAACGGCAGCACGGGAGCAAUCCUGGUGGCGAGUGGCGAACGGGUGAGUAAUAUAUCGGAACGUGCCCAGUCGUGGGGGAUAACGUAGCGAAAGCUACGCUAAUACCGCAUACGAUCUACGGAUGAAAGCGGGGGAUCGCAAGACCUCGCGCGAUUGGAGCGGCCGAUAUCAGAUUAGCUAGUUGGUGGGGUAAAAGCUCACCAAGGCGACGAUCUGUAGCUGGUCUGAGAGGACGACCAGCCACACUGGAACUGAGACACGGUCCAGACUCCUACGGGAGGCAGCAGUGGGGAAUUUUGGACAAUGGGCGAAAGCCUGAUCCAGCAAUGCCGCGUGCAGGACGAA